rnacentral:rRNA from 1 species
GACGUAGGGCGCGAGCGUUGUCCGGAUUUAUUGGGCGUAAAGAGCUCGUAGGCGGCUUGUCGCGUCGUCCGUGAAAACCUGCAGCUUAACUGUGGGCUUGCAGGCGAUACGGGCAGACUUGAGUACUGCAGGGGAGACUGGAAUUCCUGGUGUAGCGGUGAAAUGCGCAGAUAUCAGGAGGAACACCGGUGGCGAAGGCGGGUCUCUGGGCAGUAACUGACGCUGAGGAGCGAAAGCCGUGGGUAGCGAACAGG